CCCAGACUCCUACGGGAGGCAGCAGUGGGGGAUAUUGCACAAUGGGGGGAACCCUGAUGCAGCGACGCCGCGUGGGUGAAGGAGCGUUUCGGCGCGUAAAGCCCUAUCGGCAGGGAAGAAGGAGGACGGUACCUGACUAAGAAGCCCCGGCUAACUACGUGCCAGCAGCCGCGGUAAUACGUAGGGGGCAAGCGUUAUCCGGAUUUACUGGGUGUAAAGGGGGCGCAGACGGCAGCGCAAGCCAGGAGUGAAAGCCCGGGGCCCAACCCCGGGACUGCUCUUGGAACUGCGCGGCUGGAGUGCAGGAGGGGCAGGCGGAAUUCCUGGUGUAGCGGUGAAAUGCGUAGAUAUCAGGAGGAACACCAGUGGCGAAGGCGGCCUGCUGGACGACAACUGACGGUGAGGCGCGAAAGCGUGGGGAGCAAACAGGAUUAGAUACCCCCGUA
rnacentral:rRNA from 1 species